rnacentral:rRNA from 1 species
UACGGAGGGUGCGAGCGUUGUUCGGAAUUAUUGGGCGUAAAGCGCACGUAGGCGGCUGGGUAAGUCUCACUGUGAAAGCCCCCGGCUCAACUGGGGAGGGUCACGCGAUACUGAUCGACUCGAAGGCAGGAGAGGGUAGUGGAAUUCCCGGUGUAGUGGUGAAAUGCGUAGAUAUCGGGAGGAACACCAGUGGCGAAGGCGACUACCUGGCCUGUUCUUGACGCUGAGGCGCGAAAGCUAGGGGAGCAAACGGG